CUCUCUCUCUCUCUCUCUCUCUCUCUCUCUCUCUCUCUCUCUCGAUCGAACCGAAAACCUUUCUCUCCUUCCCUCUCCUUCAUGAAUCCUGGCGUGACCAGCAAAAUCUAAAUUGGAAAAUCACCUUUCGGUUUCAUGGAGUUGCUUGGGAGGGAGAUAGCGAGGAGAGAGACUGCAUGCAGAGAAUCGAACAGAAGAAGCACCUCUCUGUGCAGAGAAUCAAAUGCAAGAGAAGGAUCUGUUUUGCUUGGAUGAACUUCGAAGGAAAGACAGAGAGCAACAUCAGGGGUGUUUUUUGUGUUGCGUGAGAGAGAGAGAGAGAGAGAGAGAGAGAGAGAGAGAGAGGGGGGAAUCUCGACAAAGUGGAUCCAGUGUAGCGUAGGAGGGAUGUUUGCAUAUGUAGCCCUUACGUGGCUUUCAUCUAUUAGUUUCCGAUAAAAAGGCCUUAUAGGAUAAUCCGAUGAGAAGUUAUUCUCUAUUUUCAUACUUUAUCGUUAUAAAAAAUAAUCAUUUUCA